UUGGGCCAACCUUGGCAGCUAAAAUUUUGCCGACCAUAAACAUUAAAAUAUAAAAAUUUGUUAUACAAAUAACAUAUAUUAGUAAUCAUUUUAAAUUCAUUAUACAUUUAUUUUAUAUACUUAAACACUAAACGCAAUCGUAAACAUACAUAUAUACAAAUUAAAAUUUUUAACGCUCGCAGGGAUCGAACUCGCAACCUAACGCACCGCAGUCUAAUACGCUAACCACUACACUACGCAAUGACAUAUGAGUCACGGAGAAAAAUAAAUGUUAUAAGCUACAGCUUGAAAAAAAUUAAAGUUAGUAAUUCAAAAUAAUAAAUUAAUCACAUAUAACCUUUUUUCUUUUUAAAUUAAUCAAUUACAAGUAAAUUAACAAAAACAUUUUACAUUUGUCAAUGGUAGGAGAGAAAUUUACUUUAUGAUGGUUGGCCCAACUAUGGCUGCCAAGGUUGUGCCAACCAUUUUCCCCUUAGUCGGCCCAACUGUGGCUGCCAUAGUUGGACCGACUAUGGGGAAGAAUGGUUGGCCCAACUAUGGCUGCCAAGGUUGUGCCGACCAUAAUCCCCCAUAGUCGGCCCAACUAUGGCUGCAAUGGUCGGCCCAACUGUGACUGCCGACGUCGGCAGCCAUAGUCGGCCCAACUUUGGGUGCAAAUAUUUACCAUGGUCGGCCCAACUCUGGCUGCCGACCGGUCGGCAGCCAGAGUUGGGCCGACCAUGGGCCGACGAACCAACUCUGGCGGCCGACCGAA